UUCCUCAAUGAUAAAGCCUGGGGAUGCUGC
rnacentral:piRNA from 1 species